AACAAACGCUGGCGGCGUGCCUAACACAUGCAAGUCGUACGAGAAAGGGUCCUUCGGGGCCUGAGUAAAGUGGCGCACGGGUGAGUAACGCGUGGAUAAUCUGCCCUUCAGUUGGGAAUAACUCAUCGAAAGGUGGGCUAAUACCGAAUAAUGCUGUGAGACCUCGGUUGAUCAGCCAAAGAGAGCCUCUGCUUGCAAGCCCUCGCUGAAGGAUGAGUCCGCGUACCAUUAGCUAGUUGGUAGGGUAAUGGCCUACCAAGGCGACUAUGGUUAGCUAGUCUGAGAGGAUGAUCAGCCACACUGGAACUGAGACACGGUCCAGACUCCUACGGGAGGCAGCAGUGAGGAAUCUUGCGCAAUGGGGGCAACCCUGACGCAGCAACGCCGCGUGAGUGAGGAAGGUCUUCGGAUCGUAAAGCUCUGUCGGAUGGAAAGAACCGCAUAGGGGUAAACAGCCCCUGUGUCUGACGGUACCAUCAAAGGAAGCACCGGCUAACUCCGUGCCAGCCGCCGCAGUAAUAC
rnacentral:rRNA from 1 species